GGGAGGGUUGCGGACCACUGCUCGAAAGCAAGCCAAGAUUAUACAGGGAUCCCCCAGUGUAAGCACAGUGAGUGCAUUCCCCACACCCCAGAGCAAUCCAGAACUGAUAAUGCCGUUCUCCUGAUUCCCAGGGUUCCAGGUCUAUUCUGUCUGCCACAGACAAAUGGUACCGUUCACACACCGGCCACACUGUCUACGUGCUCGCCUCUAACCGGAAGGGAUCUCAUCUCAUGAUGCUGGACUUCAUCUUCAAAGCAAGGGGGCUUACAGUAAGCCCGAAUGAUUUCUACCCAUCCCUGAGGACUCCUGCCCCACCAAGCCAUCAAAUUGACUUCCCCCAGUUCUCGUAAGAGGAGGUACUCGAACAUCCCUGAGCCAGAAAGACAAACGCCAGGGUCCCCAGGGGAAGACCUGAGAGAGAGAAGCUCACAAUGGACAAAUAAGAGUUCUAAGGAAGCCCCAAAGGCUGGACAUCCUCUCCUGCACGUGUGCCUCACGUCCAAGCAGCGUCAUUUUGCAUCAGCAGCUGACCCCCUCCAGGAGCGGGUGCUGACAUCUAAUUGGCACUGAAAACGAUGAUCAUGACAACCACUUGAUGUUGCUGGAGGCUUUUGCCAUUUAUCUGGGAGUCUGGCUCACAUCACAUCUUCUUAAGAGCAGAGGACUCAUUAAUUACUCAUGGAGCACAAGUCAUUAUUGUCCUUAAUUGUCACAUUGAGGUUGCUGUUGGAAGUGUCGUUCUCUGUCAACAUGAAAUAGAUUUUUCCCUUCUGUAAUUUGCUUGGCACCAUUUUCCCUGUUCGUGGGUGGAAGCAUCGGCCAACAUUGCAGGACCCACCUGCCUGAUAAUUUAAGAGUUCAUCUUCCUGUUUGCCUUUGAUGUACCCUGGGAACAUGGCUCCCUAGUUUCCCUGGGAACACAUACCCUCACCUGGAUUCCAGCCUCACACCAUGGAGACGUGGCUCCAUGGCAGACCAAGGAAUUCUUCCUAUGAUCUGAGUGGGAUUGCAGGCUGCCUGUUGGAUAGAUGUCUCCAGAGCAUCCUUACAUUUCCGUCACUUGCUUUGCAGACAUGAGGUCCUGAGUUUGCCCCUAGGAGCCAUGGAAAAAGCUGGGUCUGAUAACGGGUUUAUAAUCACAGCCCUGAGGAGGCAGAGACAGGGGGACCCCCAGGUCCUGGACACCCAGCUGAACUUAACCAGUGAAUUCCAGGCCAGUGAGGGACCAUUUCCAAAAAAAAAAAAGUGAUGCUAGGCAUGGUGGCAAAC
rnacentral:lncRNA from 1 species